GUGCUCUCAUUGGCAGCAAAGAUACUGAAAUUGAAAUGGCACAGAGGAGAAUCGCAUGGCCCUUGUGCAAGGAUGACAUGCAAAUUUGUGAAAGGUUCUAUGUAAUA
ensembl:snRNA U6 U6 spliceosomal RNA